GCCAGUCGGUGGCGCUGUCUCUGCUGCUGGCGCUGCCUCUGGCCCUGUCCCUGUGCUACCUGGAGCCGAAAGCACUCGCGCGCUUCAGGUCAGCAGAGGUCACGGCUGAGGCGAGCUCUCCAGAGGAAAUGCAGUGUGACCCCGCCGCCUAAAAUGACCCCUGACCUCCCCGUUCCUGUCUCCAUGUCUGCCUGCCUCCUAAACACUACUGUGUGCAUUUUGUUGCUGUUUGCCUUUCACUUUAGCUCUUCCCUUCCAAUGCCAGAUUUUCAGUGUGAAAUGCAGAUUAGUCGCUGCGAUCUGAUUCUAGCUGUUUAAAUCGGCAACAUUCCAGUGGGACCCUAUUCAUAGUCCACAUCCUGACUGAAAAAAACUCUUUCCCCGCACUUCAGCUGAAGCGUUUAUUAUAUCAGACCUGAACCCGAAUUACUCGACCAGCUUUAAUCUUACACUAAACAGCAGAUUUAUACGCAUUUUGGAUAGAUUUCCCUCUUGAGCUUAUUAUAGUCCUUCAAGUAUUUUAUAAGAGUCUCAAACAGAAAAGCAUGAUCUCACUCAGACCAGCCUGUCCCAGAGCUCAGGGCUCGCUCCAUAUCACUUUGAUUGGGGAUUCAGGCCUUCCCAUCAUCCAUUUCACCUUUUCAGACUAUCUUGUCCAUUAUUCCACCAAUCAGAGUCCACAGGUGGAGGUCAUGGAGAAGCCAAACGCAGAUGCAGCCACAUCCAUCAGCUCUGAAACGGCCUUUGAGACGGAUGGCGCUGGCGCUCCUGAGAGAAAGAGCAAGUUGAGAGUGCAGGGGGAAAAUAUAUAUGUCAGACAUAGCAAUUUAAUGUUGGAGGUUCGUAUGUAAUCAAAGAAAAAACAACAAAGAAAGAGCAAAAGCAUAAUGGAUGGUGGACAUG